GCCGCUAUAGUACAAUGGUAGUACACGCCCUUGGUACGGGUGAGAUGCCAGUUCAAUUCUGGCUAGUGGCUCUA
rnacentral:tRNA from 1 species